rnacentral:sRNA from 1 species
CGCUGUUAGAUCUGCCUUCUCCACAGUCACUAUAACAGUUAAUCCACCACAUCUCCCAUCUGAUAUUGUUUUUAUGAUCCUUGAGAAUCUGUCUGAUUUUGCAGCUUUAUUUUCAGCUGUUCAGAUCUGUUGAAAUUUUUACUCUGUAUUUCAAAACUACAGCUGUCAGAUUUUGAAAGCAAUAUUUUUGAAUCAAUGUUGUUCUGUGGAUAAGUACAGUUGGGACAAAGUUUUUCAGAAGCUAGUUUUUAUUGUUUGCAAAGAUUUUGUGGCAAGAGAUGAUGCUCACUUCAUUCUUGAGAC